rnacentral:rRNA from 1 species
UACGUAGGUGGCAAGCGUUAUCCGGAAUUAUUGGGCGUAAAGAGCGCGCAGGUGGUUGAUUAAGUCUGAUGUGAAAGCCCACGGCUUAACCGUGGAGGGUCAUUGGAAACUGGUCGACUUGAGUGCAGAAGAGGGAAGUGGAAUUCCAUGUGUAGCGGUGAAAUGCGUAGAGAUAUGGAGGAACACCAGUGGCGAAGGCGGCUUCCUGGUCUGUAACUGACGCUGAGGCGCGAAAGCGUGGGUAGCAAACAGGAUUAGAUA